rnacentral:tRNA from 1 species
GCGGGGGUACCCAAGUGGUCAAAGGGGCAGGGCUUAGGACCCUGUGGCAAAGGCCUUCCUGGGUUCGAAACCCAGCCCCCGCACCA